rnacentral:tRNA from 1 species
UCCCUGUGGCUCAGUUGGUAAAGAGUCUGCCUGCAAUGCAGGAGACCCGGGUUCAAUCCCUGGGUCGGGAA